ensembl:snRNA U6 U6 spliceosomal RNA
GUGCUCACUUCAUCAGCACAUACACUAAAAUUGGACCAUCAAGAGAAGAUUAGUAUGGUCCCUGAGCAAGGAUGACAUACAAAUUCAUAAAGCAUUCCAUAUGUUU